AGAGAGAGACAUGCGCGCAUAUCAAUAAGCGGAGGAAAAGAAACUAACUAGGAUUCCCUCAGUAACGGCGAGUGAAGCGGGAAGAGCUCAAAUUUGAAAUCUUCAAGGGUUCUACCUUUACGAAUUGUAGUUUAAAGAAGUGUUUUCCUGUUGAGGUUUUGGUAAAAGUUCUUUGGAAUAGGACAUCAUAGAGGGUGAGAAUCCCGUAUUUGACCAUUAUUUCCAGCUUUGUGAUACACCUUUCAAAGAGUCCGGAUUGUUUGGGAAUGCAGUCCAAAAUGGGUGGUAAAUUUCAUCUAAAGCUAAAUAUUGGCGAGAGACCGAUAGCGAACAAGUACCGUGAGGGAAAGAUGAAAGAACUUUGAAAAGAGAGUUAAACAGUACGUGAAAUUGUCAAAAGGGAAGCGUUUGACACCAGUGUUGUUUUCUCGAAAAUCAAUUAAAAAAGGCAGGAUUUUGUGUUGUAUUGACUUUAUCAGCUUUCUGCACUCUUUUCUUGUCUUUUUUAAUGCACUUUUCGUUUAACAAGUCAACAUCAAUUUCUUUUGUUGUAAAAGGGUCAUUGGAAGGUGGCUUUCUUUUCGGAGAAAGUGUUUAUAGCCUUUGGCCUCUGCAAUCGGAGAGAUUGAGGUCUGCAGCGUAGAUCCUUCGGGGUUAGAUACAUUUGUGCUAAGUUAUAGCCUUUCAUAGACAACUUGUUGACUAUGAUCAGUCAUGUAGCUUACUCGCUUAUGCUAUUUUACCUACGCUUAGGAUGUUGAUGUGAUACUGCGAGCA
rnacentral:rRNA from 1 species